rnacentral:rRNA from 1 species
UCAUCUUCGGGGGUAGAGCACUGUUUCGGCUAGGGGGUCAUCCCGACUUACCAACCCGAUGCAAACUACGAAUACCGAAGAAUGUUAUCACGGGAGACACACGGCGGGUGCUAACGUCCGUCGUGAAGAGGGAAACAACCCAGACCGCCAGCUAAGGUCCCAAAGUCAUGGUUAAGUGGGAAACGAUGUGGGAAGGCACAGACAGCCAGGAUGUUGGCUUAGAAGCAGCCAUCAUUUAAAGAAAGCGUAAUAGCUCACUGGUCGAGUCGGCCUGCGCGGAAGAUGUAACGGGGCUAAACCAUGCACCGAAGCUGCGGCAGCGACACUAUGUGUUGUUGGGUAGGGGAGCGUUCUGUAAGCCUGCGAAGGUGUGCUGUGAGGCAUGCUGGAGGUAUCAGAAGUGCGAAUGCUGACAUAAGUAACGAUAAAGCGGGUGAAAAGCCCGCUCGCCGGAAGACCAAGGGUUCCUGUCCAACGUUAAUCGGGGCAGGGUGAGUCGACCCCUAAGGCGAGGCCGAAAGGCGUAGUCGAUGGGAAACAGGUUAAUAUUCCUGUACUUGGUGUUACUGCGAAGGGGGGACGGAGAAGGCUAUGUUAGCCGGGCGACGGUUGUCCCGGUUUAAGCAUGUAGGCUGGUUGUCCAGGCAAAUCCGGAUAAUCAAGGCUGAGGUGUGAUGACGAGGCACUACGGUGCUGAAGUAACAAAUGCCCUGCUUCCAGGAAAAGCCUCUAAGCAUCAGGUAACAUCAAAUCGUACCCCAAACCGACACAGGUGGUCAGGUAGAGAAUACCAAGGCGCUUGAGAGAACUCGGGUGAAGGAACUAGGCAAAAUGGUGCCGUAACUUCGGGAGAAGGCACGCUGGUGUGUAGGUGAAGCCCCUGCGGGUGGAGCUGAGACCAGUCGAAGAUACCAGCUGGCUGCAACUGUUUAUUAAAAACACAGCACUGUGCAAACACGAAAGUGGACGUAUACGGUGUGACGCCUGCCCGGUGCCGGAAGGUUAAUUGAUGGG